GCCUGUGUGGUGUAGUGACUUGAGCGCUGGACUAUAUGACUCUGGAGACCAGGGUUCAAAUCCCAGCUGGGUCA